GACGAACGCUGGCGGCGUGCUUAACACAUGCAAGUCGAACGGAAAGGCCCUGCUUUUGUGGGGUGCUCGAGUGGCGAACGGGUGAGUAACACGUGAGUAACCUGCCCUUGACUUUGGGAUAACUUCAGGAAACUGGGGCUAAUACCGGAUAGGAGCUCCUGCUGCAUGGUGGGGGUUGGAAAGUUUCGGCGGUGGGGGAUGGACUCGCGGCUUAUCAGCUUGUUGGUGGGGUAGUGGCUUACCAAGGGUUUGACGGGUAGCCGGCCUGAGAGGGUGAACGGGCACAUUGGGACUGAGAGACGGCGCAGACUCCUACGGGAGGCAGCAGUGGGGAAUCUUGCACAAUGGGCGGAAGCCUGAUGCAGCAACGCUGCGUGCGGGAUGACGGCCUUCGGGUUGUGAACCGCUUUCGCCUGUGACGAAGCGUGAGUGACGGUAACGGGUAAAGAAGCACCGGCUAACUACGUG
rnacentral:rRNA from 1 species